UAAAAAAGAAUGAAAGUUUGAAACUCAUAUCAUAUUAGAUUCAUAUUAGAAUGAAAGUUUGAAGUGAAGAAAGAAACUACAUGUAGACAAAUUUGUCAUAUCAUGAAUUCAAGUUUUUGUGAUGAACUCAGUUAAUCUAGAAGACAUACAAAUCGGGUGACAAAUUCUUGAAAAGCUACCAAAACCAAUUGACACAAUUUCAACAGGAUAUUUUUGUUAUAUUAGAUAGAUUGGGUUUGAUUUUUUGAAUUUGGGUAUUUGAAUUUUAAGAAAAAUUAAUUGGGGAUUUGGAAUUUCUAGAUUUGGAUUGUGUGGUUUUCAAUUGAGAGGGAAAUGGAGGUGGUGGAGGAGGUCAGAUUGGGUGUUGGCGGUGAUGCAGUC
rnacentral:lncRNA from 1 species